AAAUUGAAGAGUUUGAUCAUGGCUCAGAUUGAACGCUGGCGGCAGGCCUAACACAUGCAAGUCGAACGGUAACGGGAAUCAGCUUGCUG
rnacentral:rRNA from 1 species